rnacentral:tRNA from 1 species
GGGGAGUUGCCCGAGUGGCUAAAGGGGGCGGGCUGUAAACCCGCUGGCGAUGCCUACGGUGGUUCAAAUCCAUCACUCCCCACCA